UCCGAAGGGGGCUAUCGUUGUUCGGAAUUACUGGGCGUAAAGCGCGUGUAGGCGGGCCGUUAAGUCGGGGGUGAAAGCCCAGAGCUCAACUCUGGAAUUGCCUUCGAUACUGGCGGCCUGGAGCAUGAUAGAGGCGAGUGGAAUUGCGAGUGUAGAGGUGAAAUUCGUAGAUAUUCGCAGGAACACCAGUGGCGAAGGCGACUCGCUGGAUCAUUGCUGACGCUGAGACGCGAAAGCGUGGGGAGAAAACAGG
rnacentral:rRNA from 1 species